CCAACUUUAGUCGCUUUUAGCAAAAACAAACCCACAGCCAAAAAGCCUUGCAUGUCUAGGAGUCGGUGGAGUAGUUACCACCUGACGGGUAAGCCUUGUUGAGUAUUAGUAUACUCAGCCUUGCUUGUGGCUAUCUUUUUCAGGUUUGCUGUUGUUUUGGGUGCUAGUCUUACUUGACCUACCCAGCUCCCUCCGGGUUGGACG
rnacentral:lncRNA from 1 species